rnacentral:lncRNA from 1 species
CUGCGAUCUACGCCGCCAACACAUAUAUUUCUCUGCUUAUGCCGAUUUAAGGCAUCAAGUCGGUUAAAUCUCUUUAAGCAUUCACAUACAUAUGGCCUGCCAUUUUCGUGAAUCCUCAGAUGACGCUUAAGAUCGUGGUGACGAACAAAGCCAGCUUUGCAUAAGUCACAGCGAUACGGACGGUCGCUCAGAUGUGUUUGAAUAUGCGAUUCAACAUUAUAUUUGCGAGCAAUACGUUUAUUGCACCCGUUGUACAAACAGACGUACUUUCCAUCUGCUUCAGGGCCGCAAUAUAAGCUAGCCAUUGUCUCCGGAGGAAUUCUACAAAUCCUAGUUGAUUGCUUGCGAGUUUUGCAUCUAUGAUCGUAUGAAAUUCUGACCGGAGGUUUGGAAUCAUGCUCGGUGACUUGAGGAGUAAUUGAUAAAUCAGCAGAUUCAAUUUUUGGAGCUAAUUGUUCUUCUUCCUUGACAGUGAUACAAGGUUCAGGUUUCUUGGUAACUAUGCAAGAUUCAUAAGGUGCACUUAAUGCAAACUGCUGUGUCAAAGUGUUGUUGAUAUUUGCGUUCGAUAUGUCAAGUCCAUGAUCGCAAACGGAUGAGAAUUUUUCAAAUUCAGAAACGUAUUCAGCAGGUGAUGAUAACUUUGCAAACGCUUUCUGGUUGUCAGUAUGCCUGCAUACAUCCAAAUGGGAAAACGAAGAAUCUAGAGCAAAGGAGGGCUUUUGAGGCGAAGUGGGCUCUAGCUUUACAAGUUGGGCAAAUGGGGAUACAGGGGAGAUAUUAGGUGCAGUCUCUGGACUCGAUAAGUCUACAGGAUGUGCCGGACUUGGUUGGGAUAUUUGAAAGUUCAAUUCUUCAAAUGAAGGCGCACCGUUUAUCUCAUCUAAUCCAGGGGGAGAGGAUGGGAGGAACAUAAACUCAUUAAAUGAUUCCAAUUGCGAAGAGCUGGGAAGAACGGAAGAGGCAGGACCCGAGGUUUCAGGUAUACUUGAGGAAAGGUAGUCGAAAUUUUCGAGGUGAUCUUUGUUGGAGCAAGUUUCCGUCUUUAUUUCUGGUAUGUCAAACUCAGGAAACGAAAGGACUUGUUGUUGAGAGUCCAGCUCAUCAAUCCAAUUUGAUGCAUCAUAACCAAUUUCGGAAAAGGCCUGUUGAGAGUUGGUCAAGGAAAAUGCGUCAUUGUUAUUAAAAUUUUGCUCGGUAUGGAUUUGUGAUACGCAAGUUAAAGGCGAGGAAGGGGGUGAUAAGGAAGCAUCAAAGGAGGAUGCAUACGAGUGAGAGUCGGGGAGCGAUAUUUGGUUCGAUAAAAAGUAUGCAGAAUUCGCUUCCAACAAAGGGUUAAACGGUGUUUUUAGAACAGAACUAUAGUCAAACUGAUCUUGAAAGUUCUGAAGAUGAGAAGGCGGUGAAGGGAUAACAGCUUGAUUUAAAGACACCUCAUUUUCAAAGGGAGCGAAGGAGGAAAAAGAAGUAUGCUUGCUAUCGCCAAAAGUUUCAUAAUCCCUUUGGUACGAAUGAUUACAAGCUGGACUCUCUUCUUGUCGAAAUGAUUCAAACGACUUUUGCGAAGAAGAUGAUAAAUAUGAAAGCGACAUUGUCUUGUUUACUUAGGAUAGCGAGUAUCUAGUGCAAUGCGUAGAGAAAUCAAGGAGAGAACGAUGAGAGAAAUGACUCUUGAAAAGAGUGCUUGAUAACUUGAAGUGAGAUGAAAGUGUGGCUCAAAGCCAGUCUAACCCAGUAGAUGAUUGAACUAAUCACUCUUCGAUUUUUUUUUGUUUGUUACAGCAAUGUUUGGUGCGCUGGCUAUUUGUUUAUAUCAAAUAGCUACUCCGUUGCUAUGACGACAAUUGUUGAAUUUUAUGCUUCACUUUACCGCAAAACAAGUCACUAUUUGUUUACAUUGCAUGGAUUACCGAACCAUAUCACAACAACGCAAUACAAGUGUAAACACAGACCCAGGGAUUGUUUAUUUACCUUUUGUUGCCAAAGGGACAAAUCAACUAUUUUUUGAAUUAAACCAGUAAAAGGUUUGAUUGAAAGACACUACCACUAAUAAACAGGAUAAUCACGGCUAUGAAAAUGUCUACGCUUCAACAACUGGAUCAUGGAUGAUAUUAGAAAACAUAGAUUAAGUAUGACAAGCCAAAAAAAAACGGUAACCAACCUGAAAAAACGACAACGACGUUGAGAUCAAAAACCUUAAGGUAUUAGUAUUAGUAUAGAGCUAGCAAGAGAAAAAAUGCCAUGGAAAAGUUUUUAAAUGCAAUGAAUAAGUUACUUACAACACUGACAAUCAAAAGGGCAAUCCGGUGUACCUCCACCUUGGCCAAUGUUUAAUUCCUCCUCGUCAUAUACAAGAAACCCUUCCUCGGUACGCUUUCCUAAAACACAAAACGUUAAUACAAUUACUGAUGAUAAGGAGAAAAGUGCCGUUGCUAGGUAAGUAUUGCAUCGUUCGGCAAACAUUCCCGUAAACAGAAUAGCGAAUAAGGUUCAAUACCACACAAUAGAGCUUAAUGAUUUGGAGUCUCCACCAACACUAAACAUCAUUGUGAAAUGUAUCUCCCUAGAAAAACGUAAUCUAGCUCUAGCAGUAUAUAAUAAAUAAAUAAGUAUAUAGCACA